rnacentral:tRNA from 1 species
UAUGGCAGAUUCGUGCAUUGG